AUGGCAUUCGAUGCUCUCAAGGAUGCAAUGGUCAACACCCCGAUCCUCGCCUUGCCGGAUUUCACACGCCCCUUCUCCAUCGAGACAGAUGCGUGCGAUACCGGUGUCGGAGCAGUGCUGGUACAGGAUGGCCACCCCGUGGCUUAUCGCAAGGCCUUGGGGGUACGGAACCAGCGCCUCUCCAUCUACGAGAAAGAGUUCCUCGCCGUGAUCAUGGCCGUCGACAAGUGGCAUUCCUACCUCCAGCGCGCUCCAUUUGUCAACGUCACCGACCACAAAAGCUUGUGUACUCUGGGCGAGCAGCAGCUGGAUACGGAGCUCUAG
rnacentral:rRNA from 1 species